rnacentral:rRNA from 1 species
UACGAAGGGGGCUAGCGUUGCUCGGAUUGACUGGGCGUAAAGGGCGCGUAGGCGGUUCGUACAGUCAGACGUGAAAUUCCUGGGCUCAACCUGGGGGCUGCGUUUGAUACGUGCGGACUUGAGUGCGGAAGAGGGUCGUGGAAUUCCCAGUGUAGAGGUGAAAUUCGUAGAUAUUGGGAAGAACACCGGUGGCGAAGGCGGGUCUCUGGGCAGUAACUGACGCUGAGGAGCGAAAGCGUGGGGAGGCGAACAGG